GUUACUGGAAACUGAGGCUAAUCCCGGAUAGGCACAGGCUUCUGGAAAGAGCCAGUGCCCAAAGCUCCGGCGCCUGAGGAUGGGCCUGCGGCCGAUUAGGUUGUUGGCGGGGUAAUGGCCCACCAAGCCGACGAUCGGUACGGGCAGUGAGAGCUGUAGCCCGGAGAUGGGGACUGAGACAAGGCCCCAGGCCCUACGGGGCGCAGCAGGCGCGAAACCUUCACAAUGCUCGAAAGAGUGAUGAGGGUACUCCGAGUGCCUAUGCUUUGCAUAGGCUUUUGUCUAGCGUAAAUAGUUGGGCGAAUAAGGGCUGGGCAAGACCGGUGCCAGCCGCCGCGGUAACACCGGCAGCCCAAGUGGUGACCGCUUUUAUUGGGCCUAAAGCGUCCGUAGCCGGACAGGCAAGUCUUUGGGUAAAUCCUACGUCUUAAGCGUGGGAAUUCUAAAGAUACUACCUGUCUUGAGGCCGGGAGAGGCUAGAGGUACUCCUGGGGUAGGGGUAAAAUCCUAUAAUCCCAGGGGGACCACCGAUGGCGAAGGCAUCUAGCCGGAACGGGUCUGACGGUGAGGGACGAAACCCAGGGGAGCGAGCCGGAUUAGAUACCCGGGUAGUCCUGGGCGUAAAUGAUGUGGGCUUGGUGUGAGCGCAUCGACGAGGUGUGCUUGUGCCGUAGGGAAGCCGUUAAGCCCACCGCCUGGGGAGUACGGUCGCAAGGCUGAAACUUAA
rnacentral:rRNA from 1 species